rnacentral:rRNA from 2 species
CACAGAUCGCCUUAGUACGGCGAGUGAAGCGGCAAAAGCUCAAAUUUGAAAUCUGGCACUUUCAGUGUCCGAGUUGUAAUUUGAAGAAGGUAACUCUGGAGUUGGCCCUUGUCUAUGUUCCUUGGAACAGGACGUCACAGAGGGUGAGAAUCCCGUGCGAUGGGGUGUCCAAUUCUAUGUAGAGUGCUUUCGAAGAGUCGAGUUGUUUGGGAAUGCAGCUCUAAGUGGGUGGUAAAUUCCAUCUAAAGCUAAAUAUUGGCGAGAGACCGAUAGCGAACAAGUACAGUGAUGGAAAGAUGAAAAGAACUUUGAAAAGAGAGUGAAAAAGUACGUGAAAUUGUUGAAAGGGAAGGGCUUGAGAUCAGACUCGGUAUUUUGCGAUCCUAUCCUUCGUGGAGAGGUUUCACUUGCAGCUUACCGGGCCAGCAUCGGUUUGGAUGGUAGGAUAAUGACAUUGGAAUGUGGCUUUUCGGAGUGUUAUAGCCUUUGUUGAUACUGCCUAUCUAGACCGAGGACUGCGUCUUUGACUAGGAUGCUGGCAUAAUGAUCUUAAGCCGCCCGUCUUGAA